GGCUUCGUAGCUCAGCUGGUAGAGCGCUUGCUGCGUUCAGGUAUGGUGUUUGUGUCGCUGGAUAGAACCCAGCCGAAACCC